rnacentral:rRNA from 1 species
GACGAACGCUGGCGGCGUGCUUAACACAUGCAAGUCGAGCGGUAAGGCCCUUUCGGGGGUACGACGAGCGGCGAACGGGUGAGUAACACGUGGGUGACCUGCCCUUAGCUCUGGGAUAAGCCUGGGAAACGUAGGGUCUAAUACCGGAUAUGACUCCAUGACGCAUGUUGUGGGGUGGAAAGCCUUGUGCGGCUAGGGAUGGGCCCGCGGCCUAUCAGCUUGUUGGUGGGGUGAUGGCCUACCAAGGCGACGACGGGUAGCGGCCUGAGAGGGCGACCGGCCACACUGGGACGUGAGACACGGCCCAGGCUCCUACGGGAGGCAGCAGUGGGGAAUCUUGCGCAAUGGGCGAAAGCCUGACGCAGCGACGCCGCGUGAGGGAUG